AGCCGAUGAUGAAUUUGUGUAAGGUCAACAACCACGUGAACCCGUGAACGUACGUCGUGGUAUGAAGGGGUUUGAAAAGCGUGAGCCAACUCGCGGCUGAGGUU
rnacentral:misc_RNA from 1 species